UACAAUGGGUUGCCAAGCCGCGAGGCGGAGCCAAUCCUAAAAAGCUAGGCCUCAGUUCAGAUUGCAGUCUGCAACUCGACUGCAUGAAGUUGGAGUUGCUAGUAACCGCAGGUCAGCAAUACUGCGGUGAAUACGUUCCCGGGGAUU
rnacentral:rRNA from 1 species